UCGGACAGCCUUGUGGUUGAGGCGUUUGACUCAUAAUCAUUCAACCCGGGUUCGAGUCCCAGUUGAA
rnacentral:tRNA from 1 species